AACUUUUUGAGAGUUUGAUCCUGGCUCAGGACGAACGCUGGCGGCGUGCCUAAUACAUGCAAGUCGAGCGCGGGAAGCAAGUUGAUCCCUUCGGG
rnacentral:rRNA from 1 species